CAGCAGUCGCCCGGUAACACGAAGGGUGCAAGCGUUACUCGGAAUUACUGGGCGUAAAGCGUGCGUAGGUGGUGGUUUAAGUCCGUUGUGAAAGCCCUGGGCUCAACCUGGGAAUUGCAGUGGAUACUGGGUCACUAGAGUGUGGUAGAGGAUAGUGGAAUUUCCGGUGUAGCAGUGAAAUGCGUAGAGAUCGGAAGGAACAUCUGUGGCGAAGGCGACUAUCUGGGCCAACACUGACACUGAGGCACGAAAGCGUGGGGAGCAAACAGGAUUAGAUACCCCCGUAGUCCCUGUCUCUUAUACA
rnacentral:rRNA from 1 species